AAAACCCUAUGUACUCACCAGGUUUCCCAACCUGACCCACUCAGUUUAUGUAUAUCACAGGUGACGAAGUGAAGUGACAUUACACUGAGAGAUUUAAAAGAGAUGUAGAUCACUAGUGUAAAUCAUUGUAAUUCUGUUUAUGCUUAUGUUUCGGUAUUAACGAUGACAUCCCAAACAUUUUAAAAUGAAAUAAAUACGUUUCUUCGAAAAUGUUUUAAUAACGUAUUUACCAUGUUUUUCUGGGAACAAAUUCCGCAACCUUUUUAUAAAAUGAAGUACUCUGAUUUUUAUAAAGCAUAAACAAAAUCGGUCUUUUCUGGCCGUGAUUUUGGGGAUGUCACAGUUGGUAUCAGAGCAUUAGUUUAAGCGAACUAGGAAUAUGGAUUUAUUUCUAGACUUAAACUUAGAAUGCUAAGCGAUGAUUGUGAGGUGUGAGCACUAGCUUAUUUUAGGAAUUGUGCCUAAAAUGCUUUUAUGUGCUAAAUGCUUUGUGCAUGAUAUGUUGUUAAUUGUUCGGAUCUAUGGUCUGUUGCCGACCGGAUCUGGAAACCUUAUGUGUUUAGGAUUCUAAACGUACGACUACGGUAUUAGAACUAGCAUGUAAAUGUUUCGGAGUGAUAAGGAUGAUUUAAACGUCAAGUAAAGGUCUAAAUUCACCUUAUUCGGUGUAUAGAUCGAGAUGGUAAGGACCCGUAGCGGAAACGUAAACGCAAAUGGGAACAGGAACCAACCCCCAGUGGUUCAGCAAAUACCUGUUGUAGAAGAAGUUGCGCCUGAGCCAGUCACCAUGGCUGGAGUUCAAGCCAUGAUUCGGGCUAUGUUGGCUGAACAAAGGGAAGAAAUGAGACGGAUGUUGAAUAGGGACGAACCUACUAUGCCCAUUGAGCAACCCGAACUGAUUCCCGAGCAAUCUGAGGAAGGGAACUACAGCCGCCAAGUGAGUCAAGUUGGGACUCAAGGUGAGCAAAGGGAUGGCCCAGAAGGGAGAAACAACAAGGAUGGGCGGAUGUACAAGAACUUCUUGGGUGCGAAACCACCAAGCCUCUCAGGAAGCCCAAAGCCGGUUGAGGUUAUGGAUUGGAUCUCUGAGAUGGAGAUGGUGUUUGAGAGCUGCAGCUGUAAUGAGAAACAGAAGACUGUCUUUGCAGUAAGACAGCUGAAAACUGGAGUCUUGAGCUGGUGGAAGCUAUUGGCAGAUACGAUGCCACGAGGAGAAGCCUUAAGGAUGUCGUGGGAAGAGUUUUUGGAACAGUUGAAAAUGCAGUACUGCUCGGAGGUAGAUCUGAUAGACCUAAACAACGAGUUUCAGAACCUGAAGAAAGGGAAGAUGAGUGUUGAUGAGUAUGCCACCGCAUUUACCGAGAGGAUGAAGCUAUUUCCCUACUUGGUGCCUACUGAACUCUCCAAGAUUGAUAGGUUUGCUAACGGACUGCCCACUGACUUUGGUCCAAUGGUCAAAAUGGCAACUACCUUAAAAGCAGCUAUUAGGGCAGCUAAGAACGUAGAGGCCCAGAUAAGAGAAAAGGGUCUAGAAAAAGAUAAGGCAGGAGAGAAGCGAAAGUUUGAGGGAUCUUCGAGGUCGAACAAGGAAAGCAAAUUCUCAAAACUCGGAGGAGCAGAUGGAGGUGAAACAAGAUGGUGUGAUAAAUGCAAGAAGAAGCAUGGUGGGAAGUGCAACGAAGAAGUGACUUGUUACAAGUGUGGGAGGACGGGUCACUAUUCCAAAGACUGCACACAUAAUGACAAAGUAUGCUACGGAUGUGGAGGCAAGGGGCACAUGUCCAGAGACUGCCCAAGGAAAAAUAAAGCAGCAAGACCAGAAACGCCACCAAGGCCAAGGGCAUUUCACAUGAUCCUCGACGAAGCAGAGAACCAUGCGAGGAAUCAAGAAUGAGGACUUCUUACCCGAAGAUCGGAUUAUGCAGUAGCCAUAGUUUCGUAUGAUGUAGCCUAGUAGAGGCAUAGUCUAGGGUGAACUUGAACACCUAUGUAAUCGUUUCAAGAAUUAAUAUAAAACCUUCGUUUUGUUAUCUGAUGUGUCGAAUGAUUGUGUGAUUUGCUGCAUGGUGACUUGGGAAACUGCGAGACAAUACUUGGGACGAGUAUGAGUAGGUGUGAAUGGUAGUAGAGGCCUAUACUACCGGAAGCACAGGACUCACACUUGGAUCAGGGAAAGUCACAAGGUUACCAAGAAGCUAGUAAUUGAUUUCGUUUUAUUCAAGUGUGUUGUUACCAUCGUUUCGGUAAUGACUAAGAAGAUUGUUGAUAUUCCGACCCUAGUGGUCAUAUCGAAUCGAGUCCGACUACGAUGAGUAUGUUGUGUGGUUCAGAGAACCAAGUUUGAUGUAGCGUCCGACUUAAACCAAACGGUUGAAAUCAAAGCGAUCAAUAGAAGUAUCGCACUCGUUGUUAAAGAAGUUGGUGGCUAGAAAUGCCUAAUGUUAAAGUGUGAUUAUAUCACAUUAGAACAUGAAGGAAGGCAUAGUCUGUUUUAGAAUUUAACUCUAAGAGACCUAAGUCUAAGUGUUGCAACAUACGAUGAUAGGUCAUUAGAAUAUGACACAUCGAUCUAUAGUAGUAAUAAAAGAACUUAUCUCAAGUCCGUAUCCAGCAAGGAUCGAGAUUGUGACUUGAAGGUCAUAAUUUGGAGUCUAACCUGAGGUAGAGAGCAGGUGCACGAUCGAGUACUCUUACAGUCAAUGAGUUUAAGAGAUAGAAUCGAAGGAAUGUAGAAGUUAUAAUUAUUACCUAGGAUGAAGAGAUGACGUAUGGAGUCAUUAUACGACCCUGUUUCGUUGAUGAUUCCGGGACGUAAUCAUCCUAAGGGGGAGAUAAUUGUAACGCCCGCAAAUCUGGGCUAGUCAAAUUAGAGGCAAUAGGGGUCGAAAACGACUUUUCGACAAAAGAUUAUUUAGAAUAAAUAAUCUUAACCAAGUUGUAGAGUAUGUUACAAGGUUUUCGUACAUAUAAAGAACGCCGAAAACCGAGUUAUAACGAAGAAGUUAUGACCCGUUGAAGUUUCGCGACGGAACCGGCACGAUACCGGGAAGCGUAAAUAGUGAAUUUACGAUAGAGCGAGAUUUAGCCUUAGCGAUCUAAACGAAAGUCGUAGAAUAUGUUAAACUAAGAACAUCGAUAAAAAGAACGCCCAAAUCUGACUUCGUAUGAGGAAGUUAUGAUUUUUCUAAGAUUUAGCAUAGCAGUGCACAGCCCGAAAUCUGAAUUUUAGAUCGGUCGAUUUUUAGCCGACGGGAUCUAAAUGAAAGUUGUAGUACUCGUAAAUACCAACGCGUGGAUAUAAAGAACGUCGAUAAUAGAGCUCGUAUGCAAAAGUUAUGGACGAAGCUUAGUCCCUACUUUUCGAGCGCGGCGAAUUCGAUACAGUUUUGUAAAUACGAGAUAGAAUGAGAAUUAGCCAACGAGGUCUAAAUGAGAGUUGAAGAUCUCAUUAAUAGGAACUCAACGGUAAAAAGACAGACAAAAAUGGAGCUCGUAUGCAAAAGUUAUGGACGAAGCUUAGUCCCUACUUUUCGAGCGCGGCGAAUUUGAUACAGUUUUGUAAAUCCGAGAUAGAAUGAGAAUUAGCCAACGAGGUCUAAAUGAAAGUUGAAGAUCUCAUUAAUAGGAACUCAACAGUAAAAAGACAGACAAAAACGGAGCUCGUAUGCAAAAGUUACGGACGAAGCUUGGAGACUACUUUACUAUACACUUCCUAUAAAUACAAGGGUGAACUCCUCAUAUUUUCUUCACACCAUAAGCCUUUCUUUCUCUCUCUAACUUCUCUCUAACCUCCCUAAACCCCUCCCAAGUCUAGGGAACCUCCCUAUCACGAGAAGAAAGCCCCGGAGCGCCCGACGGCUCCGAGAAGAAAAGCUUUCGGCUCGGAAACGCUGCUCCAGCGAAGCCCGGUUUUUAAUAAAAACCCGCUGUAAGUGAGCUACGCCUAUAGUAUAUUUAAUAUAGAUUUUAUUUAAUUAUAGUAACAUUGUUAGGACCUUAAAAUAAUUAUUUAGGCUAUUAUUAUGAGUUAUAUUGAGUGUUAUUUAACGCUUAUAUAAUAGUAAUAAUAGCUAGACUAUUAAAUUAGUCUCGUCAAGCGUUAGACUAAACUCUAGUGGUAAUGAUACUAGGUUUCGUCAAGGGAUAAUUGUUUUAAGAGUAACGAAGUGCUGUCCGAGUGCCGACUCACCACCUUUCAGGUGAGUGCAUAGUCCCUUUCAUCUUACACAUAGAUAUGAAGUAUUUUAUAUAAACUACGUGCUAUGUGUGCACAUUAUCUGAAUACUUGCUGUCUAUGCUGGUUGAACGUUUUAUACAUGUUUUAAAGGACUUAAACUGUAUACGUAUUUUAUAUAUACGAAAAUGUUGGGUAUGAGAUGGGUAGAUGAAUGAUGAGAGAUAGAAGAUGACGUGAGUAUACAUUGGCAGCUAUAGACUUAGUGCCUAUGGGACAAACACCGGUAGCUAUGGACUUAGUACCUUUUAGACGUUGGUAGCUAUGGAUUUAGUACCUGUUGGGAAUUGGUAGCUAUGGACUUAGUACCUAUUAGUUAGACGCUGGUAGCUAAGGAUUUAGUACCUGUAGGAACUGGUAGCUAUGGAUUUAGUACCUGUUGAACAUUGGUAGCUAUGGACUUAGUACCUAUUAGAUAAAGACUGGUAGCUAUGGAUUUAGUACCCGAUGAAUAGACUAUAGCAGCUAUGGAAUUAGUGCUUUAUGAACGAACAUUGGCAGCUAUGGAUUUAGUGCCAGUCCCAUAACCCUGGAAGUAAGGGACUUCGGAAUAAACGAAUGCAGGAUAGAUGACUCUUAGGUUAAAUCCUUAAAGAGUAAAGAAGAUAAUGGGGAUGGGUAAUUGGGUUGAUUGUUUGAUUGAACAUAAUAAUUAUAUUAUUGUGGGUUGAAAACCCUAUGUACUCACCAGGUUUCCCAACCUGACCCACUCAGUUUAUAUAUAUCACAGGUGACGAAGUGAAGUGACAUUACACUGAGAGAUUUAAAAGAGAUGUAGAUCACUAGUGUAAAUCAUUGUAAGUUCUGUUUAUGCUUAUGUUUCGGUAUUAACAAUGACAUCCCAAACAUUUUAAAAUGAAAUAAAUACGUUUCUUCGAAAAUGUUUUAAUAACGUAUUUACCAUGUUUUUCUGGGAACACAUUCCGCAACCUUUUUAUAAAACGAAGUACUCUGAUUUUCAUAAAGCAUAAACAAAAUCGGUCCUUUUCUGGCCGUGAUUUUGGGGAUGUCACAAUACCAAUUAACCAUCUUGCGAAUUUCAGCUUUGUCACAUUCAUUGUUCUUUGCACAGCUGUUCAUUCGAAGAAUAAGGUUUGUGUAAUGUGGUGUGGUAUAUCUUUCAACAUCACAAGAUUGAAAUAAAAACUUUGUAAUCUUCCCCUUCUUAUUCUUUCCAACGAACACUAUCUCCAAAGGAUUCAAACAUAUCUCCCCAUCUUCAUAACUCUUCAAACUAGCCUGACUUUUUAAUAUUGAUUGUGGCACAGUGAUUUGUUUACCAAUGGCCAAGGCUAAUUCAACAUCAGUUAAAGCUAAAUAUUCCUAGUAAUUAUCUAUGAAC
rnacentral:lncRNA from 1 species